rnacentral:rRNA from 1 species
UACGAAGGGGGCUAGCGUUGCUCGGAAUCACUGGGCGUAAAGCGCACGUAGGCGGAUUCUUAAGUCGGUGGUGAAAGCCUGGAGCUCAACUCCAGAACUGCCUUCGAUACUGAGAGUCUUGAGUCCGGGAGAGGUGAGUGGAACUGCGAGUGUAGAGGUGAAAUUCGUAGAUAUUCGCAAGAACACCAGUGGCGAAGGCGGCUCACUGGCCCGGUACUGACGCUGAGGUGCGAAAGCGUGGGGAGCGAACAGG